GCAACGGUGGUUCAGUGGUAUAACGUUCGCCUUCCAGGCGGAAGCACUGGGUUGAUUCCCGGCCAAUUCA
rnacentral:tRNA from 1 species